AACGAACGCUGGCGGCAUGCCUAACACAUGCAAGUCGAACGAGACCUUCGGGUCUAGUGGCGCACGGGUGCGUAACGCGUGGGAACCUGCCCUUAGGUUCGGAAUAACUCCCCGAAAGGGGUGCUAAUACCGGAUAAUGUCUUCGGACCAAAGAUUUAUCGCCUUUGGAUGGGCCCGCGUUGGAUUCGCUGGUUGGUAGGGUAAAAGCCUACCAAGGCGACGAUCCAUAGCUGGUCUGAGAGGAUGCUCAUCCACACUGGGACUGAGACACGGCCCAGAAUCCUACGGGAGGCAGCAGUGGGGAAUAUUGGACAAUGGGCGAAAGCCUGAUCCAGCAAUGCCGCGUGAGUGAUGAAGGCCUUAGGGUUGUAAAGCUCUUUUACCCGGGAUGAUAAUGACAGUACCGGGAGAAUAAGCUCCGGCUAACUCCGUG
rnacentral:rRNA from 1 species